GACUACGCCGGGGAGCAGCCGGGCUCCAGCGGAGAGGCAGUGAGAAGUGUUCGAUCACCCCAAUCGCAGCCGCUCCCGUCAGCGCUGCCGCUGAGCUCCCGUCCGCUGGAGUCAGCCUCCUCUCCCUCGUAUCUCCAGGAGUAUCGGGGCGGCCUCGCAGGGCUGUGAUUGGCAGAAGCGGCCGGUUCCUCCCGCUUGAUCAGCCCCGCAGACUUUCAAGGGCUCGGAGCUGCUCUGAUGUCAUUCCAGCCGAAGGGGGGGAUGCUUCGCGGGAGGACGCGGCGGUGGAGGCUAAUUCGGAGAUGAGCUGCGUCCCUCUGCCACCGCCGCGACUGAUUAGAUGCUUCGCCGGGAUUUGCAUAAUCUGUCAUUGUGCGGCUGGACCACCUCCCCUCCUGCCCGCCCAAAAUGCGGGAGGGAAGUGCCACUUCCAGCUUCUGAUUUUACACCUGGAGCCUGCGAGAGAAAGCCUGGGAGAAGGGAAAAGUUGAGAGAGUCGUUUUCCUGACAGGAGGAAGCUUGAGCCCCCCUUUGCCCCUCACCAUCCCCAGAUGCUGAAGGAGGCUCAACAAAAUCACAGUGCUGGAAGACUUUUUGGUUCCUACUCUCCUUAGGUCAUUGAUAAGAUCACCUAGUACAACAAAAGGGAUUGCCUAAAAUGCUGAGCUACAAAGUUAUCCCAAGUGGCAUAUUUUCAAAAGAAACCACCUAAAUUAAUUGCAGUGGAUGACUACUGCCAACAACUAUAAAGCGCACCAAAGGCAGUUCCUGCCCCGAGGUGGCCGAGGUGCAGAAGGAGAAGAUGAGGUGGAAGAUCUCAGGGCCAGGUAUGUUCAAUCUGAGCUGCUGGGGGGACUCUGCUGUACAGACACCGUGGGGAGCUUUGAGGGC